rnacentral:rRNA from 1 species
UGGGGAAUAUUGGACAAUGGGCGCAAGCCUGAUCCAGCAACGCCGCGUGGAGGACGAAGGUCUUCGGAUCGUAAACUCCUGUCAGGCGGGACGAAGGCUUCCGGGCAAAUAGUCCGGAAGCUUGACGGUACUGCCAGAGGAAGCCCCGGCUAACUCCGUGCCAGCAGCCGCGGCAAUACGCAGGGUGCGAGCGUUAAUCGGAAUUACUGGGCGUAAAGCGUGCGCAGGCGGUUUUGUAAGCCAGAUGUGAAAGCCCCGGGCUCAACCUGGGAAUUGCAUUUGGGACUGCAAGGCUGGAGUGCGGCAGAGGAGACUGGAAUUCCUGGUGUAGCAGUGAAAUGCGUAGAUAUCAGGAGGAAUACCGAUGGCGAAGGCAGGUCUCUGGGCUGACACUGACGCUCAUGCACGAAAGCGUGGGGAGCAAA